GGGUGAGUAAUGCCUAGGAAAUUGCCUUGAUGUGGNGGAUAACCAUUGGAAACGAUGGCUAAUACCGCAUAAUGCCUACGGGCCAAAGAGGGGGACCUUCGGGCCUCUCGCGUCAAGAUAUGCCUAGGUGGGAUUAGCUAGUUGGUGAGGUAAUGGCUCACCAAGGCGACGAUCCCUAGCUGGUCUGAGAGGAUGAUCAGCCACACUGGAACUGAGACACGGUCCAGACUCCUACGGGAGGCAGCAGUGGGGAAUAUUGCACAAUGGGCGAAAGCCUGAUGCAGCCAUGCCGCGUGUAUGAAGAAGGCCUUCGGGUUGUANAGUACNUUCNGUUGUGAGGAAGGGGG
rnacentral:rRNA from 1 species